rnacentral:RNase_P_RNA from 1 species
GGAGUCGGCCGGGCAGCCGCUGCGUCGCGUUUCGCGGCGCGGAGGAAAGUCCGGGCUCCGCAGGGCAGGGUGCCAGGUAACGCCUGGGGGGCGCGAGCCCACGGAAAGUGCCACAGAAAACAUACCGCCCGACGUGUUCGGGUAAGGGUGAAAAGGUGCGGUAAGAGCGCACCGCGCCGGUGGUAACACCGGUGGCAGGGUAAACCCCACCCGGAGCAAGACCAAAUAGGGGAGCGUUCGGCGUGGCCCGCGCCGCUCCCGGGUAGGUCGCUCGAGGCGUGCGGUGACGCACGUCCCAGAUGAAUGGCUGCCCCCGACAGAACCCGGCUUACAGGCCGGCUCCCGCG